AAAAAAAAAAACACGUGGAUAACCUACCUAUAAGACUGGGAUAACUUCGGGAAACCGGAGCUAAUACCGGAUACUAUUUUGAACCGCAUUGUUCAAAAGUGAAAUACGGUCUUGCUGUCACUUAUAGCUGGAUCCGCGCUGCAUUAGCUAGUUGGUAAGGUAACGGCUUACCAAGUCAACGAUGCAUAGCCGACCUGAGAGGGUGAUCGGCCAAACUGGAACUGAGACACGGUCCAGACUCGUACGGGAGGCAGCAGUAGGGAAUCUUCCGCGAUGGGCGAAAGCCUGAAGGAGCAACGCCGCGUGAGUGAUGAAGGUCUUUUGUUUGUAAAACGCUGCGACGACCACAGAACUCUACACUCGUU
rnacentral:rRNA from 1 species